GCAGCAUGGUGGUCUGAUGAGCUGCCUGAAGUGUGCGUCACAGGUGGGCCCACCAGGAGCCCCUGCAGCUGAGCAGCCCUGCAGACGCAUGACAGCAUCUGGUGAAACUUCAUUUCCACACAGGUGUUGGUGACAUGGCUGAAUCCUGCAGAAAUGAGUGAUUCCCUUGCUUCUUUCCUUUGUGGCCUUGACUACGCAGCUCCAAGAGGGAAAGAGUGGAGAAAUUGCUAUUCCAGUACUCAGAGACAUGAGUCCAGUGGUUCUAGGAGGAUUCAGGAAUCAAAGAGGGACAACACAGCAGAGAUGGAGAUGAACGCGUCUCUCAUAGCAGAAAGAGGAGAGAUGCACAAAAAGCAAGGAUGUGGGAGCCCUCGUGAGGACUUCUCAGCAAGCCAGCCUACAUGCACUGUGAUGACCUGAAAGCCCAGUCAUCUGCAGACUUUGAAGGGAACAUGAGUCACCCAACUCCCUAAAUGUUACACUCUACAAGUAUUGCCUCCGUGCCUUACCUGAAAUCUUCCAUCAAGCACAUGAAGAACUGAGACAUGUUGCUGAUUCCUCGUGGUCCUACAACCCAGCUUCACAGAGAUACCUAGCCUCCUGAUAUCAGGGAGCUGAGGCAAAGAGCACAGAAAGGCAUUGCAGUGUGACCAAGAUCAUGCA